rnacentral:rRNA from 1 species
CGGUAAUACGGAGGGUGCGAGCGUUAAUCGGAAUUACUGGGCGUAAAGCGUACGUAGGCGGUUUGGUCAGUCUGAUGUGAAAGCCCCGGGCUUAACCUGGGAACGGCAUUGGAUACUGCCAGGCUAGAGUACAGGAGAGGAGAGUGGAAUUUCCAGUGUAGCGGUGAAAUGCGUAGAGAUUGGAAGGAACACCAGUGGCGAAGGCGGCUCUCUGGACUGAUACUGACGCUGAGGUACGAAAGCGUGGGGAGCAAACAGGAUUAGAUACCCUGGUAGUCCACGCCCUAAACGAUGUCAACUAACCGUUGGACCCAACUAAGGGUGCAGUGGUGCAGCUAACGCACUAAGUUGACCGCCUGGGGAGUACGGCCGCAAGGUUAAAACUCAAAUGAAUUGACGGGGGCCCGCACAAGCGGUGGAGCAUGUGGUUUAAUUCGAUGCAACGCGAAGAACCUUACCUGCUCUUGACAUCCUCGGAAUCUCCCAGAGAUGGGAGAGUGCCUUCGGGAACCGAGUGACAGGUGCUGCAUGGCUGUCGUCAGCUCGUGUUGUGAAAUGUUGGGUUAAGUCCCGUAACGAGCGCAACCCUUAUCCUUAGUUGCCAUCAUUUAAGUUGGGUACUCUAAGGAGACUGCCGGUGAUAAACCGGAGGAAGGUGGGGACGACGUCAAGUCAUCAUGGCCCUUAUGAGCAGGGCUACACACGUGCUACAACGGCCGGUACAGAGGGCGGCGAACUUGCGAGAGUGAGCGAAUCCCAUAAAGCCGGUCCCAGUCCGGAUCGCAGUCUGCAACUCGACUGCGUGAAGAUGGAAUCGCUGGUAAUCGCGGAUCAGAAUGCCGCGGUGAAUACGUUCCCGGG